AGUGAACGCUGGCGGUAGGCCUAACACAUGCAAGUCGAACGGCAGCACAGGAGAGCUUGCUCUCUGGGUGGCGAGUGGCGGACGGGUGAGGAAUACAUCGGAAUCUACCUUUUCGUGGGGGAUAACGUAGGGAAACUUACGCUAAUACCGCAUACGACCUUCGGGUGAAAGCAGGGGACCUUCGGGCCUUGCGCGGAUAGAUGAGCCGAUGUCGGAUUAGCUAGUUGGCGGGGUAAAGGCCCACCAAGGCGACGAUCCGUAGCUGGUCUGAGGGUAGGAUCAGCCACACUGGAACUGAGACACGGUCCAGGCUCCUACGAGAGGCAGCAGUGGGGAAUAUUGGACAAUGGGCGCAAGCCUGAUCCAGCCAUACCGCGUGGGUGAAGAAGGCCUUCGUGUUGUAAAGCCCUUUUGUUGGGAAAGAAAAGCAGCCAGUUAAUACCUGGUUGUUCUGACGGUACCCAAAGAAUAAGCACCGGCUAACUUCGUGCCAGCAGCCGCGGUAA
rnacentral:rRNA from 1 species